rnacentral:tRNA from 1 species
GGAGGUAUAGCUCAGUGUAGAGUGUAUGCCUAACAGGCAUACGGUCCUGGGUUCAGUCCCAGUACCUCCA